AGAAUCAACGCUGGCGGCGUGCCUAACACAUGCAAGUCGAACGCGAAAGCCCCGCAAGGGGUAAGUAGAGUGGCAAACGGGUGAGUAACACGUGGGUGACCUGCCUUCGAGUGGGGGAUAACGUCCCGAAAGGGACGCUAAUACCGCAUAACAUCCUGCCUUUUAAGAGGUGGACAUCAAAGCUGGGGACCGCAAGGCCUGGCGCUUGAAGAGGGCCCGCGCCUGAUUAGCUAGUUGGUGGGGUAAUGGCUCACCAAGGCAUCGAUCAGUA
rnacentral:rRNA from 1 species